rnacentral:rRNA from 1 species
AAUAGCGGAGGAAAAGAAACUAACAAGGAUUCCCCUAGUAACGGCGAGUGAAGAGGGAAGAGCCCAAGAUUGAAAGCUGGCGUCUUCGGCGUCCGCAUUGUAAUCUCAAGAAGUGUUUUCCGCUUCGGACCAUGCCUAAGUCCCUUGGAAAAGGGUAUCAUAGAGGGUGAUAAUCCCGUACAUGGCAUGGAGCGCCCGAAGCUUUGUGAUACGCUUUCUACGAGUCGAGUUGUUUGGGAAUGCAGCUCAAAAUGGGUGGUAAAUGCCAUCUAAGGCUAAAUAUUGGGGAGAGACCGAUAGCGAACAAGUACAGUGAUGGAAAGAUGAAAAGAACUUUGAAAAGAGAGUUAAACAGUACGUGAAAUUGCCAAAAGGGAAGGGUAGGAGGUCAGAGAUGCGUCUUGGGAUUCAGCCUUGCUUUUGCAUGGUGUUUUUCCCAAGCUGCAGGCCAACGUCGGUUUUGGGCACUGGAGAAGGGUAGGAGGAACGUGGCACCUCUCGGGGUGUGUUAUAGCCUCCUACUGGAUACAGCGACCGAGACCGAGGAACGCAGCGUACUCGUAAGAGCGGGCCUUUUGGCACCUUUACGCUUAGGGCGUUGGCAUAAUGGCCCUCUACCACCCGUCUGA